rnacentral:rRNA from 1 species
UACGUAGGCAGCGAGCGUCGUUCGGAGUUACUGGGCGUAAAGAGUGCGUAGGCGGUGGCCCAAGUCUGGUGUGAAAUCUCCCGGCUCAACUGGGAGGGUGCGCCGGAAACUGGACUGCUGGAGUGCGGGAGAGGCAAGCGGAAUUCCAGGUGUAGCGGUGAAAUGCGUAGAUAUCUGGAGGAACACCCGUGGUGCAGACGGCUUGCUGGACCGUAACUGACGCUGAUGCACGAAAGCGUGGGUAGCAAACAGG